AAAUUUGACCCAUGUGUUUCAAAAUGUAUAAAUUUCAAUCAGCUUACACCAUGGAAUCUAAUGCAUUUCAUAUCACUGAGAUGUUUUUCACAAACUCAUUUCAAAUGACAAUGUUUAAAGCAAAUUCCAUACUUGAUACACCGCGAUCUCAUAUAUUUAUCUAACAAAUGUUAUGAAUUGAUUCAAACAAACUUGAGUAGGCAUUCGAACACAUCUAAUUGUGUCACUCUUUCGAAGAGAAAGCACAUGUUUCGUACAAACUAACUUUUUUCAGCUAAUAUUUUGCAGUAAUUUAUUUUUUUCCAAAAAUUCUGGUUAAAAACAAGAAAACUAAUUGAAUUAAUUCGAGACACUGCAGUAGACAACAUGUAGAUAACGAAAUACACAGGUGAUUGAAUUUGAUAGCACUUAAUUAUGUUAUGACAAUAAGUAAAGCCAUUUAACCAAAAAGCUCCAAAUUACUUUCUUAUCAAGAAUAAUCUAUUUGAUUAUUUAUGAAAAAGUUCUUAUAUUUAGCAUUUGUCUAUCUUAGUCCAUAGAGAGAAACAUCGGAUUAGAAAAUGUGUUUCUAUUGACAGAGUUUGGCAUAGUCGAGUACACCAAUAUCGCAGCAAGAGCAUUUUUUAAGAACCCUUGUGGCAGCAGUUCGAUAAGUUCUCGGAACAUCGAACAAUUCAAUUAUCAGAAGCUAACCAAUACAAUAAACAUAAUAAAUACCAGAAUGCCUCAUCAAAAUGUUUAAUUCCUUCGAAGAGACAUGCAAACCGAAAAGCUGGAAUCAACAUGUCAUGGCCAGCAGAUACUUCUUGGCAUUGUGGAUGACAAUUGAAGACUUCUUUUGGAAUCGGUCGUAGGACAGAAGUGAAGGUUGUUUGAUCCACUGAAGAUGGAGACAGCAAGGAUCGGUUCGAGUGUCCGUUGUAAAUAUGCCAACGACAAUGACACCUGCGAAGACAUUUUAUACAUUUGUACAAAAUUUGUUUUUAUUUCAUUUCAUUCGUCCGGAAUUCGAUUUACGUUAAAGAAUUGAAAACCAAUGAAAGAUUGUUUUUUUAUACACCUCCACCGUUGAUUCGUUGGAAGUUUUAGCAAAACAAUGCUUUUUAAAUUUGGUUUCGAUCCUAUGACGGAAAUCGGACUCCGGGCGGAAAUUGCAUUCUUGUAGCUUGUAUCAUUGUAAAUAUAUGAAAUAUAUGUAAUAUAUGAAAGAAAACACGAAAUUCAUUAAUUAACCAAUAAAAUUCAACACGAUUAUACAUCAAAGUCAUUAAGAAAACAAGCGAACAUGUCAAGCCGUUCAAUCCAAAUCGAUUUGUUUUACACGUUAAUACCGUGUGGAUGUUUCAUGAACGGAUGAUGAGUUUCGAUUGAGCGAAGUCGUAAGUUUUACACAUGACAUUGAUUUGCUUUGACAAUUUGCGCAA